CUCUGGGGAAGGUAGUUCAUAAAAAGAAAUCAACUAGCUAAUUUGCACAUUAUAAAAGCAAUCUGCUAGCAUAAAAGAGUAAUAUGCAAAGCUUUUCUGAAAUUCAAUAUAAUAGGGCUUUGUACCAUUGUAUCUUUGUCAGAAACUAGCUCCUUCCACACAGGAAGAUUUCAAAUCAU